CGUAGGGGGCAAGCGUUGUCCGGAUUUAUUGGGCGUAAAGAGCGUGUAGGCGGCCAGACAGGUCCGUUGUGAAAACUCGAGGCUCAACCUCGAGACGUCGAUGGAAACCGUCGGGCUAGAGUCCGGAAGAGGAGAGUGGAAUUCCUGGUGUAGCGGUGAAAUGCGCAGAUAUCAGGAGGAACACCCGUGGCGAAAGCGGCUCUCUGGGACGGUACUGACGCUGAGACGCGAAAGCGUGGGGAGCGAACAGGAUUAGAUACCCUGGUAGUCCACGCCGUAAACGAUGGGUGCUAGGUGUGGGCGGUGUCGACUCCGUCCGUGCCGAAGCUAACGCAUUAAGCACCCCGCCUGGGGAGUACGGCCGCAAGGCUA
rnacentral:rRNA from 1 species